rnacentral:lncRNA from 1 species
UAGUCUACUAUAUUUAAUACAGUUAUAACUAAAUUUAAGGUUUUUUUUAAUAUUGAUUAUAUUGAUACAGAAAGAAGAGCAAGAGACUCAUGCUAAAAGAGAUAUGGAAGAAAGAGCAAUAAACAUUGAAAUUCCUGAAAUCUUGAAAAAGAAACUUGAAGAGGAUUGUUACUAUAUUAACAGGCGAAAGCGGCUUGUGAAACUGCCAUGUCAGACAAAUAUAAUAACCAUCUUGGAAUCAUACGUAAAGCAUUUUGCCAUUAAUGCAGCUUUUUCAGCCAAUGAAAGAUCCCGUCACCAUCAAAUGACAUCACAUACCAACUUGAAUCUCCAUUAUAUACCACCAGAAAAAAAUGUUGAAUUAUGUAAAGAAAUGGUAGAUGGCCUAAGAAUAACCUUUGACUUCACUCUUCCUCUGAUUCUACUAUAUCCUUAUGAGCAAGCACAGUUUAAGAAGGUGACAUCCUCCAAAUUUUUUCUACCAAUAAAAGAGAGUAUAGCAAAUUCUAACAGAAAUCAAGAAGAGCUUUCUCCAAGCCCACCUCUUCUGAAUCCAUCAACUCCACAAUCCACAGAUAGUCAGCCUGCAACAGGAGAACCUGCAACACCUAAACGCAGAAAAACGGAACCUGAAAUCCUGCAGUCUCUAAGGCGUUCUACGCGUCACACAUCCAACUGUGAUAGGCUGUCAGAAAGCAGUGCUUCUCCACAGCCAAAAAGGCGGAAUAUUGAGACUCCUGCUUCAAUGCCAAAAUUAUUUUUGCAUCUUGAAAAAAAAACUCCUGUCCAUAGUGGGUCAUCAUCUCCCAUUACGCUAACCCCUAGCAAAGAAGGUAGUGCAGUAUUUGCUGGAUUUGAAGGCAGAAGAAAUAAUGAAUUGAAUGAGGUGUUGUCAUGGAAACUCAUGCCAGAAAACUAUCCUCCAGGUGAUCAGCCGCCGCCACCUUCUUACAUUUAUGGAUCUCAACAUUUGCUGCGCAUGUUUGUAAAGCUUCCAGAGAUACUUGGGAAGAUGAGCUUUUCUGACAAAAAUCUAAAAGCUUUAGUAAAGCAUUUUGAGUUGUUCCUAAGGUUCCUAGCUGAGUAUCAUGAUGACUUCUUUCCAGAGACAGCUUAUGUAGCAGCCUGCGAGGCCUAUUAUACCACCAAAAAUCCACGUGCUAUCUACUGAAACUGUGGAUGCAGUCAAUUGUACAAACUGGGCACGUUCUAUGUCUCCUAUUUUAUUGCAUUACUUCAAGAUCAAGAAAAAUUGGAAUAUAUAAUUAUAAUAUAACAAAGGCUUUCUACAAUGCUGUUCUUUUGGCAUAAAGAAAUUUUCAUUUCAUUUCAGAGCUAUGCUGAUGUUGCAUUGUACAGUCAUCAGAUAAAUGAAGCUCUACAUUGAUUGUUAAUGCAUAGAACUGCAUACAAAUAAA